rnacentral:rRNA from 1 species
CUUGUAGGCGGUUUGUCGCGUCUGCUGUGAAAAUCCGGGGCUCAACCCCGGACUUGCAGUGGGUACGGGCAGACUAGAGUGUGGUAGGGGAGACUGGAAUUCCUGGUGUAGCGGUGGAAUGCGCAGAUAUCAGGAGGAACACCGAUGGCGAAGGCAGGUCUCUGGGCCACUACUGACGCUGAGAAGCGAAAGCAUGGGGAGCGAACA